AAGGAUCAUUGUCGAAACCUGC
rnacentral:rRNA from 5 species